AUAACGCAGCGAAAGCUGUGCUAAUACCGCAUACGCUCUGAGGGGGAAAGUGGGGGAUCGCAAGACCUCACGUUAUUCGAGCGGCCGACGUCUGAUUAGCUAGUUGGUGGGGUAAAGGCCUACCAAGGCGACGAUCAGUAGCGGGUCUGAGAGGAUGAUCCGUCACACUGGAACUGAGACACGGUCCAGACUCCUACGGGAGGCAGCAGUGGGGAAUUUUGGACAAUGGGGGCAACCCUGAUCCAGCCAUUCCGCGUGAGUGAAGAAGGCCUUCGGGUUGUAAAGCUCUUUCAGCCGGAACGAAACGGUAUUCCUUAAUACGGGAUGCUAAUGACGGUACCGGCAGAAGAAGCACCGGCUAACUACGUGCCAGCAGCCGCGGUAAUACGUAGGGUGCGAGCGUUAAUCGGAAUUACUGGGCGUAAAGCGUGCGCAGGCGGAUUGUUAAGCAAGAUGUGAAAUCCCCGGGCUUAACCUGGGAAUGGCAUUUUGAACUGGCAGUCUAGAGUGUGUCAGAGGGGGGUGGAAUUCCACGUGUAGCAGUGAAAUGCGUAGAUAUGUGGAGGAACACCAAUGGCGAAGGCAGCCCCCUGGGAUAACACUGACGCUCAUGUACGAAAGCGUGGGUAGCAAACAGGAUUAGAUACCCUGGUAGUCCACGCCCUAAACGAUGUCAACUGGUUGUUGGGGGAGUGAAAUCCCUUAGUAACGAAGCUAACGCGUGAAGUUGACCGCCUGGGGAGUACGGUCGCAAGAUUAAAACUCAAAGGAAUUGACGGGGACCCGCACAAGCGGUGGAUGAUGUGGAUUAAUUCGAUCAACGCGAAAAACCUUACCUACCCUUGACAUGUCCAGAAUCCUGCAGAGAUGCGGGAGUGCCCGAAAGGGAAUUGGAACACAGGUGCUGCAUGGCUGUCGUCAGCUCGUGUCGUGAGAUGUUGGGUUAAGUCCCGCAACGAGCGCAACCCUUAUCAUUAGUUGCUACGCAAGGGCACUCUAAUGAGACUGCCGGUUACAAACCGGAGGAAGGUGGGGAUGACGUCAAGUCCUCAUGGCCCUUAUGGGUAGGGCUUCACACGUCAUACAAUGGUCGGUACAGAGGGUUGCCAAGCCGCGAGGUGGAGCCAAUCCCAGAAAGCCGAUCGUAGUCCGGAUUGUUCUCUGCAACUCGAGAGCAUGAAGUCGGAAUCGCUAGUAAUCGCGGAUCAGAAUGUCGCGGUGAAUACGUUCCCGGGUCUUGUACACACCGCCCGUCACACCAUGGGAGUGGAAUCUGCCAGAAGUAGGUAGCCUAACCGCAAGGAGGGCGCUUACCACGGUGGGUUUCAUGACUGGGGUGAAGUCGAAACAAGGUA
rnacentral:rRNA from 1 species